rnacentral:rRNA from 1 species
AUUGAACGCUGGCGGCAUGCCUUACACAUGCAAGUCGAACGGCAGCACGGGAGCUUGCUCCUGGUGGCGAGUGGCGAACGGGUGAGUAAUACAUCGGAACGUACCCAGGAGUGGGGGAUAACGUAGCGAAAGUUACGCGAAUACCGCAAAUUCUGUGAGCAGGAACGCGGGGGAUCGCAAGACCUCGCGCUCUUGGAGCGGCAGAUGUCGGAUUAGCUAGUUGGGGAGGUAAAAGCUCACCAAGGCGACGAUCGGUAGCAGGUCUGAGAGGGUGAUCUGCCACACUGGGACUGAGACACGGCCCAGACUCCUACGGGAGGCAGCAGUGGGGAAUUUUGGACAAUGGGGGCAACCCUGAUCCAGCCAUGCCGCGUGAGUGAAGAAGGCCUUCGGGUUGUAAAGCUCUUUCGGCGGGGAAGAAAUGGCAACGGCUAAUAUCCGUUGUUGAUGACGGUACCCGCAUAAGAAGCACCGGCUAACUACGUGCCAGCCGCCGCCGUAAAAC